rnacentral:sRNA from 1 species
AAAGCCUACAGGUGUUUAUUCGGUGAUAUGGCUGUUCAUAUACCAGCCACCGUCUCUCAUGAGGUCGUCGAUUUUCUUUACCGACUGAAUUUACCCAUCUGUGAGAACCCUAGUUCUCUUCUGGUUGUUAGGCUUGCUCCAUUAUAUCCAGUGAGGCCACUGGAUGUCAAUCCUUUUUGCACCAGUGAUUUCCUGGUUAACGCGUUCACACCAUUCACACAUAAUGGCGAAGAAUGGAUCAAGGAAAAGCAACCGGAAGGUGAUUUGAUUGUCAAUUUGAUAAUCUUGAUUACUCGGAAACCCUUAAGAGAUACCAAGUGGCG